CCUAUGGUUUUACAUAACAGGAGAAUCUAACACUAACUGCUUUAGCUAACUUGAGGAUUUCCAAAAUGCUUUACAGUUGAGCUGAGGACAUGGUUGGCUGAGCCACAAAGAUGCCCCUGAGGAUCUAUCUUUGCUUCGGUCUAUAUGUGGUCCUCUCCCAUCUGUGUCUCAUUCCCCUAAGGACACAGGCUCGCUGCCAAUUAAGUCAGUUCUAUAUGCUUCCAGCCCUCCUGCCCCAAUGUUUCAAUCAAGACUUCUGAGAGAGCAGUGCUCACGAGACUUCUAAGAAGCUUCGCAGGGGACCCAGGAAAGAAAAGACUGGUCCAAAGCCUAAGCUUGAUAUUGCCAAGGGACUCGUGUGUUCACCCCAGAGUUGGGAGUGAUCAUGUAAGAUGCCACAUGCUGGAGGUGCCUGAGAGACAGAUUCCAAUGAGCAGAUUCAACGGAUUCCACACUUCUUGCCAUCCUAAUCCAGGUGUCAGAUAUAAGAGUGACGCCGUUUUGCACCCUUCAUACCUGUCCCCCUCGACAGUGCCCACCAAUGACUUCUGAUGUCACGGAAAAAGAAGAAUGGCUUGCCUGGACCCUACCAGAAUUUGUGAUCCACAAACUCUGAAAGAAAAUUUCACUGGAGAUAAGAGUUGACAAUUUUAAGCCACCAGAGCUCUAGAACAUAUAUAUUUUAAAAUUCCUAAACCAGGCUGAGUGGCCCAGCACUUUAAGGCAGACAGAUUGCAAGUUUGAGUUUGAGGACAGUCUGAACUACAGCAUAAAACACUGUCUCAAAAUAAAAAUCUUUUCUAUAGAAAACUGGGGUAAAGCUUGGCCUUCAGAAACUCAAUGUUAUGAGGGGUGGUGGUGAGGUCUGUUUAAAGAGGUAUAACAAUCAAACACAAUGAUGAACCAGCCCUCUUUGCUUCAAGCUCAAGAAAAAAAUAUUGAUUAUCAAUAUUUUUCAGACAUUGGGAGAUUUGAACGUGAACUAUUUACUACACAACAUUUUAAGGAAUUUAUGGCUAAUUGUGUUCGAUGCCCUCGUGACUUUGUAGUUAUGGAGAACAGUGCCUCUUUCUAGGAGAACUUCCUGGGGUAAUUAGAAAUCAAGUGUGUUAAUGAUGGAAAGUUACUUAACAGUGGUCAACCAAACAAUUAAGGUGGGGAAAGAGAGGAGAGGGGGAGGAUAUUAUGAAAGAUUGUCAGUGAUUGGAAUCUAGUUCUGGGCAGAUGGAAGCUCACUAUAUAAUCCUUUCAACAUUUGGUAUGUGAAAGUGUUCACAGUAAAAAGCAGAGAAUAAAAAAUCAGGGAAAAUAAACUUAUAAAAACCAUCUUCAGCAUCAUUAGUCACCAAGCAUAUGCAAUUAAAGCCAGAACACUAGACUGGGGACAUAGUCAGGCAUACGGUGCUUGUUUGACUACCAAGCACUGAAAAGAGGAAAGGGGAGAGGCAGUCCCAUCCACCAGGAUGACUAAAGGAUUAAGAAGAGGAGGACAGACAGGCUGGCACAGCUCUGAAGCAAGUAGAACUCCUCCACAGGACUGGUAAGAGCAGGUGGUGGUGAACCAUUGUGGAAAACUACCUGUAGUAUCUCCCAAAGCCACCACACCAACCCUGAGACUCGACAGUUCACCCUCCUAAAGUGGUCAUCUACGUUCUCAUCCAAAGGCAUUUAUAAGUGCUGCUGAAAAUAACUACAGCUAUGUGAGUAUACAUGACUAGGACAAUGAACAAGUCAAUGCAUCUCACAAGGAGGAUGAAUCGUUACCAGUGUUAAUAUUCGACUUAUGAGAGUGUAUAAAGCUCUGUAAACUGAAAUACUGCACCUGGUGGAACAGGCAGGUGAACCUAGCUACUCGGGAGGCUCUGAGGCAGGAGGAUUGCAAGUUUAAAGUCUUUUGGGGGCAACUGAAUGAGACCUGUUUCAAAAUAAGGUUAAAAGGGGAUAGAUUUCAGAAGUAGAACAAAAUCUGUGCUAGUUCUUGUAAUCGUAUGUGAACCAAAAGUAUGCUCACUCAAAGAUUAAUUACAAAGCAAAGGAAUGAAACAA